CGCGGAGAUGGCGGCCGCGGCGGCGGAGGAAGGGAUGGAGCCACGGGCGCUGCAGUACGAGCAGACCCUGAUGUAUGGCCGGUACACUCAGGACCUUGGGGCCUUUGCCAAAGAGGAAGCUGCUCGGAUUCGCCUGGGAGGGCCUGAACCCUGGAAAGGUCCCCCUUCCCCUCGGGCUGCCCCAGAGCUCUUGGAAUAUGGACGGAGCCGUUGCGCCCGAUGCCGCGUCUGUUCUGUCCGCUGCCACAAGUUCCUAGUAUCCAGGGUUGGUGAAGAUUGGAUCUUCCUGGUCCUGCUGGGGCUCCUCAUGGCAUUGGUCAGCUGGGUCAUGGACUAUGCCAUUGCUGCCUGUCUGCAAGCCCAGCAGUGGAUGUCCCGGGGCUUGAACACCAGCAUCUUGCUCCAGUACCUGGCCUGGGUCACCUACCCUGUUGUCCUCAUCACUUUCUCAGCCGGAUUCACACAGAUCCUGGCCCCUCAGGCUGUUGGCUCUGGCAUCCCUGAGAUGAAGACCAUCUUGCGGGGAGUGGUGCUGAAAGAAUACCUCACACUCAAGACCUUUAUAGCUAAGGUCAUUGGGCUGACCUGCGCCCUAGGCAGCGGGAUGCCGCUUGGCAAAGAGGGCCCUUUUGUGCAUAUUGCAAGCAUGUGUGCUGCCCUUCUCAGCAAGUUCCUCUCCCUCUUUGGGGGUAUCUAUGAGGUAAGGGGAACCCUGGGGCAAGUGGGGGGCAGAGGCUGCUGAGCCCACAGCUGACCCCCUCUUGCCACCACUCUCACCAGAAUGAAUCCCGGAACACAGAGAUGCUGGCUGCCGCCUGUGCCGUGGGGGUGGGCUGCUGCUUCGCGGCACCUAUUGGAGGCGUCCUCUUCAGCAUCGAGGUCACCUCCACCUUCUUUGCAGUGCGGAACUACUGGCGGGGCUUCUUCGCUGCCACCUUCAGUGCCUUCAUCUUCCGGGUCUUGGCAGUCUGGAACCGGGAUGAAGAGACUAUUACAGCCCUCUUCAAAACCCGAUUCCGGCUCGACUUCCCCUUUGACCUGCAGGAGCUGCCAGCCUUUGCUGUCAUUGGUAUUGCUAGUGGCUUCGGUGGAGCCCUCUUUGUCUACCUGAACCGGAAGAUUGUCCAGGUGAUGCGGAAGCAGAAAACCAUCAAUCGCUUCCUCAUGAGGAAACGCCUGCUCUUCCCGGCUCUGGUGACCCUGCUCAUCUCCACGCUGACCUUCCCCCCUGGCUUUGGACAGUUCAUGGCUGGACAGCUCUCACAGAAAGAGACGCUGGUCACCCUGUUUGACAAUCGGACGUGGGUCCGCCAGGGCCUGGUGGAGGAGCUAGAACCACCCAGCACCUCACAGGCCUGGAACCCACCACGUGCCAACGUCUUCCUCACCCUGGUCAUCUUCAUUCUCAUGAAGGUGGGCUCCUCACGUGUACACUGCUAACCUUUACAUAGCUUGCCCUUCUAAGCACCUGCCACGCAGUGCUCACUCCUCGAAGCCUCUCCACAGUGCCAUGGGAAAGGCACUAUUAUCACCCCCGUUUGAAAGAUGGGGGAGUCGAAACACAAGUAGCUGGCCCAAAGUCACACAGCUAGAGGGCAGAGCGAUGAUCUGAACCCAAGCCAUCUGCUUCCAGAGUCCUUCCCCUUGCCAUCACCUGGGAGGCCUGGGGGUCCCAGGGUAGCUAGGAGGGUUACGGGGUGGCUGGGAGGGUUACGCCCACCUGAUCAGCGAG
rnacentral:sRNA from 1 species